rnacentral:misc_RNA from 1 species
AGAAGUUAUAUGAAUAUUUUGGAUCAGAUUGAAAUUCUUGUCAAUUUAUAAAUACAUCUUAAAUCUAUAAAUACCAUGACAAACAUUAUGGAAAUGGUCUAAAUAUUUUCUGGUAGCAUAAAAUUUAAAUACUAAUAAUAAUGUGGUUUAUUAAAAAAUUAAAAGCAUGAAGAUAGCAUGCAUUGAGGUUUGACCUUGAUUUUUAUCUAGAUAUAAAUUUGUUGAUGUAGCAUUUUAAUUGAAAAUUUUUAAAUUAUUUACAUUUUAAUAAUAAAAACUUGCAUAAAAAGAUUGGAAUCCUUGGGACUUGAACACCAUGCUGCAUGAUUA